GUAGGGACAACCAACAUAGCAAUAUGGCAAAGGAUGUUUUUAUGUAAAGUACUCCCCAAGCUUGAAUUUUGCAAAAUUCAAGUUUGGAUGAAUUUAAUUCAAUAUUGUGUGAUGGUUGGUUGGACAUACCUUGUGCUUGUCAUUCAUCCGAUCUUCUUGCUCCAAUCCUAGAAAGGUUAGUGACAAGAAUACCUGAAGGAAUAUUUCUACAAUUAUCUUUAUAUGCUCAAUACACAAGGCAAUGUUGCAAAUAAUUAGAAGUGCUUG
rnacentral:lncRNA from 1 species